rnacentral:rRNA from 1 species
GGGAACGUGCCCUCCGGUCUGGGAUAACCCUGGGAAACUAGGGCUAAUACCGGAUACGUGCUUUGGCAGAAAGGUUUACUGCCGGAGGAUCGGCCCGCGUCUGAUUAGCUUGUUGGUGGGGUAACGGCCUACCAAGGCGACGAUCAGUAGCUGGUCUGAGAGGAUGAUCAGCCACACUGGGACUGAGACACGGCCCAGACUCCUACGGGAGGCAGCAGUGGGGAAUAUUGGACAAUGGGCGCAAGCCUGAUCCAGCCAUGCCGCGUGAGUGAUGACGGCCUUAGGGUUGUAAAGCUCUUUUCUCCGGGACGAUAAUGACGGUACCGGAGGAAUAAGCCCCGGCUAACUUCGUGCCAGCAGCCGCGGUAAUACGAAGGGGGCUAGCGUUGCUCGGAAUCACUGGGCGUAAAGGGCGCGUAGGCGGCGUUUUAAGUCGGGGGUGAAAGCCUGUGGCUCAACCACAGAAUGGCCUUCGAUACUGGGACGCUUGAGUAUGGUAGAGGUUGGUGGAACUGCGAGU